rnacentral:lncRNA from 1 species
UAUUUUUGCCAAACGUAGCUUAAAUUGAAAUAUUUUAAUAGUUUAGAAAUUACUAACAACCACUUAAUGGAAAAAUUAACCGAGGAACUAAACUAAUGGAUGUGAAUAUAAUUUUGAGACAUUUUAAUUACUUCGGAUAAUAAUAGAGAUUAAGUUAGGGAAAGAGUAAUAGUUUAUUGGCCAAAUUAGUCUUUGGAACUCCUUAUCCUCUAUUAUUAUGAUUUAUUUUUUUUGACUAAUCUUAUUAUGAGUUUUAAAAUAUAGUAAUGGAUGGAUGAGAUUAACACUAUGUUUGUUUUGAUAGAUUUAUGAGAGAGAGAAAUAAAGAAGAGAGAAAUAGUAAAGAAAUAAGGUAUUUCUUUAGUUUGGAUAAAGGGAGAAAUAAGGAGAGAGAGAAAUUUUUUAGGUGGGUCCCAUGCCAAAAGAAAUCUCUCCUCAAUAGGUGAGAUUUGUGAAUUGAAGGAGUGGAGAGAUGCAUUUUCCCACAAUGUCCUUCUUCUUAUUUUAUUUUUUUUAGUUUUAAUAUUCAACUUUAUUUUUUAUUUUUUUAAAUAUGAAGGAUAAAUUAGUCUUUUUCAUUUUUAUUAAUUUCUCUCUAUUCAUAUUUCUACUCAUCCUCUUCUCUAUUUN